GAUCUUUGACAACCAAAACAAAGCUGUUCGUCUUUUCUCAGGAUCACAUGGCUGGAGGCCACGCCACUUACAUGCCAACACGCUGUCAAUGUUUUCACCAAGUGCCGUACCCUCAGCAACUUCAUUAACACACAACAAACCUCCAGCAGACUGGUUUGCUUACUGAUGGGGUUUCCAUGGUUUACUUUAGUUUUUUCCAUUUCCAAGCAUAGUAUAUGCUUGUCCCUUAACUGGAACAUACUGUAGAUGUUUUGCUUUAUUGAGAAUACUCCUGCAAUUAGGAAUGUGUCACUAGUCUCAUUUCUGUAUAUGGGGAAAACGUCUUAUGCAAUGUCAGUCUCUUUGAUUUCCUCUGUCUCUCUCAACAGCUGCUGUUGGAGGUGGACCAGAACACCAACUUACAAAGUCUGCUUAAUUUGGCCAGAGAGUUUGGGGGCUUGGCCGGUGGAAAAGUGA
rnacentral:lncRNA from 1 species